rnacentral:rRNA from 1 species
UCCAGACUCCUACGGGAGGCAGCAGUGAGGAAUAUUGGUCAAUGGGCGCGAGCCUGAACCAGCCAAGUCGCGUGAGGGAGGACGGCCCUACGGGUUGUAAACCUCUUUUGUCAGGGAGCAAGGGACAGGUCGUGACCUGUUGUGAGAGUACCUGAAGAAAAAGCAUCGGCUAACUCCGUGCCAGCAGCCGCGGUAAUACGGAGGAUGCGAGCGUUAUCCGGAUUUAUUGGGUUUAAAGGGUGCGCAGGCGGAGGCACAAGUCAGCGGUAAAAUCGCGGGGCUCAACCCCGCUCCGCCGUUGAAACUGUGUCCCUUGAGUGCGCGAAGGGUAGGCGGAAUGCGUGGUGUAGCGGUGAAAUGCAUAGAUAUCGCGCAGAACUCCGAUUGCGAAGGCAGCGUACCGGCGCCAGACUGACGCUGAGGCACGAAAGCGUGGGGAUCGAACAGGAUUAGAUACCCCAGUAG